GAUGAACGCUGGCGGCGUGCCUAAUACAUGCAAGUCGAGCGAACGGACGAGAAGCUUGCUUUUCUGAUGUUAGCGGCGGACGGGUGAGUAACACGUGGAUAACCUACCUAUAAGACUGGGAUAACUUCGGGAAACCGGAGCUAAUACCGGAUAAUAUUUUGAACCGCAUGGUUCAAAAGUGAAAGACGGUCUUGCUGUCACUUAUAGAUGGAUCCGCGCUGCAUUAGCUAGUGGGUAAGGUAACGGCUUACCAAGGCAACGAUGCAUAGCCGACCUGAGAGGGUGAUCGGCCACACUGGAACUGAGACACGGUCCAGACUCCUACGGGAGGCAGCAGUAGGGAAUCUUCCGCAAUGGGCGAAAGCCUGACGGAGCAACGCCGCGUGAGUGAUGAAGGUCUUCGGAUCGUAAAACUCUGUUAUUAGGGAAGAACAUAUGUGUAAGUAACUGUGCACAUCUUGACGGUACCUAAUCAGAAAGCCACGGCUAACUACGUG
rnacentral:rRNA from 1 species